GUUCAGUUCAAGCAACACUAGCAAUAUUUUCCACCCAACGACAUGUUACGAGGAAAUCCUUCAAAAUGCGUUCUUGUGAAAAACGUGAGAGUGGAAGGAAGGAGGGAGGGAUAGGAGGAAGGAAAGAGAAGCAAAAGUUCCCUGUUUCUCACGGCCCUGAAACCAGCCGACAGGGAUUUGCAUUUUGAAAAACCUUGCGUGGCUGCCGGCGCUGGGCAUGCUCAAACGCCCAGAACUGGCUUUUUUCGGCAACUUUGGCAGCUCUCCCACCCCCACCCGAAGGGGCAGGUACGCACAGUUCCCUCCGUGUGAGUAAACGGAAAGAAAUUACCCCACUCCCGCCCAGGGCAGAAGGCCACAGCCCCGC
rnacentral:lncRNA from 1 species